UAAAAUGUCUCUAAAAAUGCAUAUAUUUUGGACUUACAAAGAGAUGAAGAAGAAAGCAUAAUUUCUCAUGAGAAAUCAUGAAGCCAGAAGGAAGCAGCACAACAGUCUUCAAGUACUGAACAAAAUGAACUAUCAACUGUAGAAUUUGAUAUUCAGUAAAAUCAUCCUUUAGGAAUGAAAGAGAAAUAAAGUUUUUCUUUAUCCACCAUUAGACAAAGGAAACCAAGAGAAUUUGCCACUAGCAGAUAUACCCUCACUAGCAGAUAUACCCUAAAUGAAUGGCAAAGGAAGUCCUCUAUAACCAGAAGAAAAAGGAUUGAAAAAAGGAGUCUUAGAACACCAGGAAGAAAAGAAGAACAAUGAAAAAAGCAAAAAUGGCAAGUUGAGCAGCGAAGUGGCAGCCUGCUGUGUUGGGGCGAUGGCCUCACUUUUGUCAUAUUAAUGUGAGAUACAUAAGCAGAGUCUCACUGUGUCGCCCAGGCUGGAGUGCAACGGCGCGAUCUCAGCGGCUCACUGCAACCUCCGCCUCCUGGUUCAAGCAAUUCUCCUGCCUCAGCCUCCUGAGUAGCUGGGAUUGCAGAUGUGCACCAGUAUUAUCACAAUUUAAAAAAGGGUUUUGUAAAAUAUUAACUCUCAAUCUCCGCUAAACCUAAAACAUCUCAUAUACACUCUAAUAUCAAAAAACAAAUGGUUUAACUGUAUUUAAAGAGUGGGAAUAAACAUAGAGAGGUCAUUAUGUCAAUAUCAAGUUCACUCUAAUGUGCGAGUAAAUUUUAUGAUUAAGAAGUGUUGUCUAAUUGUUUUCUAAGGCAGUGGGACUCACCUAGCACAGCUGUGAAAAUUCCACAUCUUUUCACACUGAAGUUUAAAUUGAAAAAUAGAGGCCAUGUAAGUUUAUGAAGUAUGGUGAUAAAGUUAUUUCAUGACCGUUUUUUUAAAAUGUCUAUCAAUGGAAAUACUGUAACUGAUGUGGUGGUAAUAUUUAGCUACCAGAAAAAACCAUGGCUAAGCCUUAUGAAUAUUAUCACUUCUCCCUGUAUAGGCCUGCACUGGAAAAGUCAUUCAUUAAACUACAGUAUUACACCUCUCAUGGUAACCAUUACUGGAGGCUGAUUCUUUACCUCUCCACCUCCUUUAAUCUGUAAAAAGAGAGUGAUGGCUACAAUUCCACAGACUUUAAACACUGGUCAGCAUUUAAGUUUUUCUUCUAUCUUUCAGGAGGCACUAAGAACAUAUUUUACACAAAAAACACUAAUAAGAUUGCAGAAUAAAAGUCUCAAUCAUUCAUAUAUUCUUUCCCCACUUCUUUUACUCUUCUGUUGAGUUAGUGCUUAAAACAAAUACCGCACCUUUCUCCAUCAAUUUCCUCCAUGAAAUUCAAAGUAUUCCGGUGAGGAUAGGUUAUUUUCACAUCCAGCCUGUGUAUCUCGCUGGAUCAUGAGAGGCUCAGCUGCUGCUGUCGUUUUGUUUUUGUCUGAAGGCAGGAUGUGUUUGAUUCUCUUUUUAAAGUUACUCAAGAGAAAAUGUUGACUGCUGUAAUAAAAAUCUGGAUGAAAUUGUAGUACAAUGUGU